GGAUCCAGACUUUGAUUAUGGCUCAGGAUGAACGCUAGCUACAGGCUUAACACAUGCAAGUCGAGGGGAAACGACAUCGAAAGCUUGCUUUUGAUGGGCGUCGACCGGCGCACGGGUGAGUAACGCGUAUCCAACCUGCCCACCACUUGGGGAUAACCUUGCGAAAGUAAGACUAAUACCCAAUGAUAUCUCUAGAAGACAUCUGAAAGAGAUUAAAGAUUUAUCGGUGAUGGAUGGGGAUGCGUCUGAUUAGCUUGUUGGCGGGGUAACGGCCCACCAAGGCGACGAUCAGUAGGGGUUCUGAGAGGAAGGUCCCCCACAUUGGAACUGAGACACGGUCCAAACUCCUACGGGAGGCAGCAGUGAGGAAUAUUGGUCAAUGGACGAGAGUCUGAACCAGCCAAGUAGCGUGCAGGAUGACGGCCCUAUGGGUUGUAAACUGCUUUUAUAAGGGAAUAAAGUGAGUCUCGUGAGACUUUUUGCAUGUACCUUAUGAAUAAGGACCGGCUAAUUCCGUGCCAGCAGCCGCGGUAAUACGGAAGGUCCGGGCGUUAUCCGGAUUUAUUGGGUUUAAAGGGAGCGUAGGCCGGAGAUUAAGCGUGUUGUGAAAUGUAGACGCUCAACGUCUGCACUGCAGCGCGAACUGGUUUCCUUGAGUACGCACAAAGUGGGCGGAAUUCGUGGUGUAGCGGUGAAAUGCUUAGAUAUCACGAAGAACUCCGAUUGCGAAGGCAGCUCACUGGAGCGCAACUGACGCUGAAGCUCGAAAGUGCGGGUAUCGAACAGGAUUAGAUACCCUGGUAGUCCGCACGGUAAACGAUGGAUGCCCGCUGUUGGUCUGAAUAGGUCAGCGGCCAAGCGAAAGCAUUAAGCAUCCCACCUGGGGAGUACGCCGGCAACGGUGCAACUCAAAUGAAUUGACG
rnacentral:rRNA from 1 species